rnacentral:rRNA from 1 species
UACGGAGGGAGCUAGCGUUGUUCGGAAUUACUGGGCGUAAAGCGCACGUAGGCGGCUUUGUAAGUUAGAGGUGAAAGCCCGGGGCUCAACUCCGGAAUUGCCUUUAAGACUGCAUCGCUUGAAUCCGGGAGAGGUGAGUGGAAUUCCGAGUGUAGAGGUGAAAUUCGUAGAUAUUAGGAAGAACACCAGUGGCGAAGGCGGCUCACUGGCCCGGUACUGACGCUGAGGCGCGAAAGCGUGGGGAGCAAACAGG